AUGUUACAGGUCACUAGUGUCAGCAUGGAAGGUGUUUUAGUAGAAGAAGAUCUAAAUGGGCGUGCUUCUACGUGUGGCUCAUUAAGUUUCUUGGGAAUACCUGCUCCAGCUGCUGCAGGUUCUGUGCUUCAGUGCGCGCUGGAGGGAUUGGAUCGCCUGGCUACUGUCAACCUCUUCUUCCUCGUUCCUGCUCAAUGGAUGGCUAGGACAGGCUGUGCUUCAUCGCCAUGGUUUAACGCAGGCCUGUACGGGGAUGAUGCAGUUCUUUUUGGAAGCCCAAGGAAGGAAGAAGUGGACAUGCUCAUGCAGAUUCUGAAUGACUUCGGAAACGCGUCUGGACUGAAGAUAAACCCUCAAAAAUCAACUGUCACACCCAUCAGAUGCAAGGACAUCAACCUCUGA
rnacentral:rRNA from 1 species